rnacentral:rRNA from 1 species
GGUGAUUCAUAGUAACCGAACGGAUCGCAUUAUAAUUAUCAUUAUUUGAUGAUUGGCGAUAGAUCAUUCAAGUUUCUGACCUAUCAGCUUUCGACGGUAGUGUAUUGGACUACCGUGGCAGUGACGGGUAACGGGGAAUUAGGGUUCGAUUCCGGAGAGGGAGCCUGAGAAGCGGCUACCACAUCUAAGGAAGGCAGCAGGCGCGCAAAUUACCCAAUCCUGACUCAGGGAGGUAGUGACAAGAAAUAACAACACUGGAAAUUUGAUUUCUAGUGAUUGGAAUGAUGGGAAUCCAAACCCCUUUCAGAGUAACAAUUGGAGGGCAAGUCUGGUGCCAGCAGCCGCGGUAAUUCCAGCUCCAAUAGCGUAUAUUAAAGUUGUUGCAGUUAAAAAGCUCGUAGUUGGAUGUCUGUUGGAAGCAAUCAUCAGUCCGCCCUAUUUGAUUAGGGUGUGAAUAUGAUGAAUUCCGGCAUAAUUGUCUCCCUAUUGUUAAUAUUCUGAUUGUUAGAUUCAUUUCUAACAAUAAUACGAUUAUUAAUAAUAAGGGGGAAAUGUUACUUUGAGAAAAUUAGAGUGUUUGAAGCAGGCUUUUGUUGCCUUGAAUACUGCAGCAUGGAAUAACAAUAUAGGAUUUCGGUUCUAUUUUGUUGGUUCUUUUUUUAGGACUGAAAUAAUGAUUAAUAGGGACAGUUGGGGGCAUUCGUAUUUAACUGUCAGAGGUGAAAUUCUUAGAUUUGUUAAAGACGAACUACUGCGAAAGCAUUUGCCAAAGAUGUUUUCAUUAAUCAAGAACGAAAGUUAGGGGCUCGAAGACGAUCAGAUACCGUCGUAGUCUUAACCAUAAACUAUGCCGACUAGAGAUAGGAAAAAGUCAUCCUUGACUUCUCCUGCACCUUAUGAGAAAUC